UACGUAGGGUGCGAGCGUUGUCCGGAAUUAUUGGGCGUAAAGGGCUCGUAGGCGGUUUGUCACGUCGGGAGUGAAAACUCGGGGCUCAACCCCGAGCCUGCUUCCGAUACGGGCAGACUAGAGGUAUGCAGGGGAGAAUGGAAUUCCUGGUGUAGCGGUGAAAUGCGCGGAUAUCAGGAGGAACACCGGUGGCGAAGGCGGGUCUCUGGGCCGUUACUGACGCUGAGGAGCGAAAGCGUGGGGAGCGAACAGG
rnacentral:rRNA from 1 species